rnacentral:rRNA from 1 species
CAGUCGCCGCGGUAAAACGAAGGGUGCAAGCGUUAAUCGGAAUUACUGGGCGUAAAGCGUGCGUAGGCGGUGAGUUAAGUCUGCUGUGAAAUCCCCGGGCUCAACCUGGGAAUGGCAGUGGAUACUGGCUCGCUAGAGUGUGUCAGAGGAUGGUGGAAUUCCCGGUGUAGCGCUGAAAUGCGUAGAGAUCGGGAGGAACAUCAGUGGCGAAGGCGGCCAUCUGGGACAACACUGACGCUGAGGCACGAAAGCGUGGGGAGCAAACAGGAUUAGAGACCCCGGUAGUCCCUGUCUCUUAUAC